UACGGGAGUGGCAAGCGUUAUCCGGAAUUAUUGGGCGUAAAGCGUCCGCAGGCGGCCUUGUAAGUCUGUUGUUAAAGCGUGGGGCUUAACUCCAUUUAAGCAAUGGAAACUGCAAGGCUUGAGUGUGGUAGGGGCAGAGGGAAUUCCCGGUGUAGCGGUGAAAUGCGUAGAUAUCGGGAAGAACACCAGUGGCGAAGGCGCUCUGCUGGGCCAUAACUGACGCUCAUGGACGAAAGCCAGGGGAGCGAAAGGGAUUAGAUACCCCUGUAGUCCUGGCCGUAAACGAUGAACACUAGGUGUCGGGGGAAUCGACCCCCUCGGUGUCGUAGCCAACGCGUUAAGUGUUCCGCCUGGGGAGUACGCACGCAAGUGUGAAACUCAAAGGAAUUGACGGGGGCCCGCACAAGCGGUGGAGUAUGUGGUUUAAUUCGAUGCAACGCGAAGAACCUUACCAGGGUUUGACAUCCUGCGAAUCCCUUGGAAACGAGGGAGUGCCUUCGGGAGCGCAGUGACAGGUGGUGCAUGGCUGUCGUCAGCUCGUGUCGUGAGAUGUUGGGUUAAGUCCCGCAACGAGCGCAACCCACGUCGUUAGUUGCCAGCAUUCAGUUGGGCACUCUAGCGAGACCGCCGGUGAUAAACCGGAGGAAGGUGUGGAUGACGUCAAGUCAUCAUGCCCCUUACAUCCUGGGCUACAUACGUACUACAAUGCUACGGACAAAGGGCAGCAAACUCGCGAGAGCUAGCAAAUCCCAUAAACCGUGGCUCAGUUCAGAUCGUAGGCUGCAACUCGCCUACGUGAAGGAGGAAUCGCUAGUAAUCGCAGGUCAGCAUACUGCGGUGAAUACGUUCCCGGGCCU
rnacentral:rRNA from 1 species